GAUGAACGCUGGCGGCGUGCCUAAUACAUGCAAGUCGAGCGAACAGACGAGGAGCUUGCUCCUCUGACGUUAGCGGCGGACGGGUGAGUAACACGUGGAUAACCUACCUAUAAGACUGGGAUAACUUCGGGAAACCGGAGCUAAUACCGGAUAAUAUAUUGAACCGCAUGGUUCAAUAGUGAAAGACGGUUUUGCUGUCACUUAUAGAUGGAUCCGCGCCCCAUUAGCUAGUUGGUAAGGUAACGGCUUACCAAGGCAACGAUGCGUAGCCGACCUGAGAGGGUGAUCGGCCACACUGGAACUGAGACACGGUCCAGACUCCUACGGGAGGCAGCAGUAGGGAAUCUUCCGCAAUGGGCGAAAGCCUGACGGAGCAACGCCGCGUGAGUGAUGAAGGUCUUCGGAUCGUAAAACUCUGUUAUUAGGAAAGAACAAAUGUGUAAGUAACUAGGCACGUCUUGACGGUACCUAAUCAGAAAGCCACGGCUAACUACGUG
rnacentral:rRNA from 1 species